AUUGAACGCUGGCGGCAGGCCUAACACAUGCAAGUCGAACGAGUGGCGGACGGGUGAGUAAUGUCGGGGAAAAUGCACGAUGGAGGGGGAUAACUACUGGAAAAGGUAGCUAAUACCGCAUACCAUCGGAUGUGCCCCGAUGGGGUUAGCUAGUAGGAGGGGUAACGGCUCACCUAGGCGACGAUCCCUAGCUGGUCUGAGAGGAUGACAAGCCACACUGGAACUAAGACACGGUCCAGACUCCUACGUGAGGCAGCAGUGGGGAAUAUUGCACAAUGGGCGCAAGCCUGAUGCAGCCAUGCCGCGUGUAUGAAGAAGGCCUUCGGGUUGUAAAGUACUUUCAGCGAGGAGGCGUUACUCGCAGAAGAAGCACCGGCUAACUCCGUGCCAGCAGCCGCGGUAAUUC
rnacentral:rRNA from 1 species